rnacentral:rRNA from 1 species
AGUGAACGCUGGCGGUAGGCCUAACACAUGCAAGUCGAACGGCAGCACAGUAAGAGCUUGCUCUUACGGGUGGCGAGUGGCGGACGGGUGAGGAAUACAUCGGAAUCUACUUUUUCGUGGGGGAUAACGUAGGGAAACUUACGCUAAUACCGCAUACGACCUACGGGUGAAAGCAGGGGAUCUUCGGGCCUUGCGCGAUUGAAUGAGCCGAUGUCGGAUUAGCUAGUUGGCGGGGUAAAGGCCCACCAAGGCGACGAUCCGUAGCUGGUCUGAGAGGAUGAUCAGCCACACUGGAACUGAGACACGGUCCAGACUCCUACGGGAGGCAGCAGUGGGGAAUAUUGGUCAAUGGGCGCAAGCCUGAUCCAGCCAUACCGCGUGGGUGAAGAAGGCCUUCGGGUUGUAAAGCCCUUUUGUUGGGAAAGAAAAGCAGCAGGUUAAUACCCCGCUGUUCUGACGGUACCCAAAGAAUAAGCACCGGCUAACUUCGUG